AGGAGGAGCCCGCGUCCCAUUAGCUAGUUGGCGGUGUAACUGACCACCAAGGCGAUGAUGGGUAGCCGGCCUGAGAGGGUGAACGGCCACAUUGGGACUGAGACACGGCCCAGACUCCUACGGGGGGCAGCAGUGAGGGAUUUUCGGCAAUGGGCGAAAGCCUGACCGAGCGACGCCGCGUGAGCGAAGAAGGCCUUCGGGUCGUAAAGCUCUGUCUAGGGGGACGAGAGAGGACGGUACCCCUGGAGGAAGCCACGGCUAACUACGUGCCAGCAGCCGCGGUAAUACGUAGGUGGCGAGCGUUGUCCGGAAUUACUGGGCGUAAAGGGCGCGCAGGCGGCGCGUUAAGUCCAGGGUGAAAUCCCACGGCUCAACUGUGGGGGGACCCUGGAUACUGGCGUGCUGGAGUGCGGGAGAGGGAAGCGGAAUUCCACGUGUAACGGUGAAAUGUAUAGAUAUGUGGAGGAACACCGGUGGCGAAGGCGGCUUCCUGGACCGUAACUGACGCUGAGGCGCGAAAGCUGGGGGAGCGAACAGGAUUAGAUACCCUGGUAGUCCCAGCCGUAAACUACGCACACUAGGUGUGGGGGGUAUCGACCCCUUCCGUGCCGCAGCUAACGCAAUAA
rnacentral:rRNA from 1 species